rnacentral:rRNA from 1 species
AUUGAACGCUGGCGGCAUGCCUUACACAUGCAAGUCGAACGGUAACGCGGGGCAACCUGGCGACGAGUGGCGAACGGGUGAGUAAUACAUCGGAACGUGCCCAGUAGUGGGGGAUAGCCCGGCGAAAGCCGGAUUAAUACCGCAUACGACCUACGGGUGAAAGCGGGGGAUCGCAAGACCUCGCGCUAUUGGAGCGGCCGAUGUCAGAUUAGCUAGUUGGUGGGGUAAAGGCCUACCAAGGCGACGAUCUGUAGCUGGUCUGAGAGGACGACCAGCCACACGGGGACUGAGACACGGCCCAGACUCCUACGGGAGGCAGCAGUGGGGAAUUUUGGACAAUGGGCGAAAGCCUGAUCCAGCCAUUCCGCGUGCAGGAUGAAGGCCCUCGGGUUGUAAACUGCUUUUGUACAGAACGAAAAGGUUUCUACUAAUACUAGGAGCUCAUGACGGUACUGUAAGAAUAAGCACCGGCUAACUACGUGCCAGCCGCCGCGGUAA